GAUGAAGAACGUAGCGAAAUGCGAUAAGUAAUGUGAAUUGCAGAAUUCAGUGAAUCAUCGAAUCUUUGAACGCACAUUGCGCCCGCCAGUAUUCUGGCGGGCAUGCCUGUUCGAGCGUCAUUACAACCCUGAGGCCCCCGGGCCUGGCGUUGGGGAUCGGCGGAGCCCCCCGUGGGCACACGCCGUCCCCCAAAUACAGUGGCGGUCCCGCCGCAGCUUCCAUCGCGUAGUAGCUAACACCUCGCGACUGGAGAGCGGCGCGGCCACGCCGUAAAACACCCAACUCUUCUGAAGUUGACCUCGAAUCAGGUAGGAAUACCCGCUGAACUUAAGCAUAUCAAUAAGCGGAGGA
rnacentral:misc_RNA from 1 species